rnacentral:misc_RNA from 1 species
GAAAUGCGAUAAGUAGUGUGAAUUGCAGAAUUCAGUGAAUCAUCGAAUCUUUGAACGCACAUUGCGCCCCUUGGUAUUCCAUGGGGCAUGCCUGUUCGAGCGUCAUUUGUACCCUCAAGCUAUGCUUGGUGUUGGGUGUUUGUCCUUUGCUUUAUUGCUUGGACUCGCCUUAAAAUAAUUGGCAGCCAUUGUUUUGGUAGAAAGCGCAGCACAUUUUGCAAUUUCCUCCAAGAGUAUUAGCGACCAACAAGCCUUUUUAACACUUUUGACCUCGGAUCAGGUAGGGAUACCCGCUGAACUUAA